ensembl:ncRNA C25F6.23 ncRNA
UGAAUUGUGACGUUGUAUGAAAUUUUGAAAAAAGUCAAGCCACCUAGGGGACUCGAACCCCUGACCUUAAGAUUAAAAGUCUCACGCUCUACCAACUGAGCUAAGGAGGCCCUGUAGCGCCACUUUCA